rnacentral:rRNA from 1 species
AUGAACGCUAGCUACAGGCUUAACACAUGCAAGUCGAGGGGCAGCAUUUUAGUUUGCUUGCAAACUAAAGAUGGCGACCGGCGCACGGGUGAGUAACACGUAUCCAACCUGCCGAUAACUCGGGGAUAGCCUUUCGAAAGAAAGAUUAAUAUCCGAUAGUAUAUUAAAACCGCAUGGUUUUACUAUUAAAGAAUUUCGGUUAUCGAUGGGGAUGCGUUCCAUUAGUUUGUUGGCGGGGUAACGGCCCACCAAGACUACGAUGGAUAGGGGUUCUGAGAGGAAGGUCCCCCACAUUGGAACUGAGACACGGUCCAAACUCCUACGGGAGGCAGCAGUGAGGAAUAUUGGUCAAUGGACGAGAGUCUGAACCAGCCAAGUAGCGUGAAGGAUGACUGCCCUAUGGGUUGUAAACUUCUUUUAUAUGGGAAUAAAGUAUUCCACGUGUGGGAUUUUGUAUGUACCAUAUGAAUAAGGAUCGGCUAACUCCGUGCCAGCAGCCGCGGUAAUACGGAGGAUCCGAGCGUUAUCCGGAUUUAUUGGGUUUAAAGGGAGCGUAGGUGGAUUGUUAAGUCAGUUGUGAAAGUUUGCGGCUCAACCGUAAAAUUGCAGUUGAAACUGGCAGUCUUGAGUACAGUAGAGGUGGGCGGAAUUCGUGGUGUAGCGGUGAAAUGCUUAGAUAUCACGAAGAACUCCGAUUGCGAAGGCAGCUCACUAGACUGCAACUGACACUGAUGCUCGAAAGUGUGGGUAUCAAACAGGAUUAGAUACCCUGGUAGUCCACACAGUAAACGAUGAAUACUCGCUGUUUGCGAUAUACAGUAAGCGGCCAAGCGAAAGCAUUAAGUAUUCCACCUGGGGAGUACGCCGGCAACGGUGAAACUCAAAGGAAUUGACGGGGGCCCGCACAAGCGGAGGAACAUGUGGUUUAAUUCGAUGAUACGCGAGGAACCUUACCCGGGCUUAAAUUGCAUUUGAAUAAUCUGGAAACAGGUUAGCCGCAAGGCAAAUGUGAAGGUGCUGCAUGGUUGUCGUCAGCUCGUGCCGUGAGGUGUCGGCUUAAGUGCCAUAACGAGCGCAACCCUUAUCUUUAGUUACUAACAGGUCAUGCUGAGGACUCUAGAGAGACUGCCGUCGUAAGAUGUGAGGAAGGUGGGGAUGACGUCAAAUCAGCACGGCCCUUACGUCCGGGGCUACACACGUGUUACAAUGGGGGGUACAGAAGGCAGCUACCUGGCGACAGGAUGCUAAUCCCAAAAACCUCUCUCAGUUCGGAUCGAAGUCUGCAACCCGACUUCGUGAAGCUGGAUUCGCUAGUAAUCGCGCAUCAGCCAUGGCGCGGUGAAUACGUUCCCGGGCCUUGUACACACCGCCCGUCAAGCCAUGAAAGCCGGGGGUACCUGAAGUACGUAACCGCAAGGAGCGUCCUAGGGUAAAACUGGUAAUUGGGGCU